rnacentral:rRNA from 1 species
GAUGAACGCUGGCGGCGUGCUUAACACAUGCAAGUCGAACGGAAAGGCCAGUGCUUGCACUGGUGCUCGAGUGGCGAACGGGUGAGUAACACGUGGGUGAUCUGCCCUGCACUUUGGGAUAAGCCUGGGAAACUGGGUCUAAUACCAGAUAGGACCAUGCUUUGGAUGGUGUGGUGGAAAGUUUUUUCGGUGUGGGAUGAGCUUGCGGCCUAUCAGCUUGUUGGUGGGGUAAUGGCCUACCAAGGCGUCGACGGGUAGCCGGCCUGGGAGGGUGUACGGCCACAUUGGGACUGGGAUACGGCCCAGACUCCUACGGGAGGCAGCAGGGGGGAAUAUUGCACAAUGGGCGCAAGCCUGAUGCAGCGACGCCGCGUGGGGGAUGACGGCCUUCGGGUUGGAAACUCCUUUCGCAACUGACGAAGCUUUUUGUGACGGUAGGUGGAGAAGAAGCACCGGCUAACUACGUG